rnacentral:rRNA from 1 species
UGAGCAAUCUGCCCUUCUCAUCGGAAUAAGCGUUGGAAACGACGUCUAAUGCCGAAUACGACCUCCUUUCGCAUGAUCGGAGGUGGAAAGCUCCGGCGGAGAAGGAUGAGCUCGCGGCCUAUCAGCUAGUUGGUGUGGGUAAUGGCUCACCAAGGCGUCGACGGGUAGCUGGUCUGAGAGGACGACCAGCCACACUGGAACUGAGAUACGGUCCAGAUCCCGUAACGGGG